UACGUAGGGUGCAAGCGUUGUCCGGAUUUAUUGGGCGUAAAGAGCUCGUGGGCGGUUUGUUGCGUCGGCUGUGAAAUCCCGAGGCUCAACCUCGGGUCUGCAGUCGAUACGAGCAAACUAGAGUGUUGCAGGGGAGACUGGAAUUCCUGGUGUAGCGGUGAAAUGCGCAGAUAUCAGGAGGAACACCGGUGGCGAAGGCGGCAUCCUGGACCAAUAUUGACGCUGAGGAGCGAAAGCCAGGGGAGCAAACGGG
rnacentral:rRNA from 1 species